rnacentral:rRNA from 1 species
AGUGAACGCUGGCGGUAGGCCUAACACAUGCAAGUCGAACGGCAGCACAGGAGAGCUUGCUCUCUGGGUGGCGAGUGGCGGACGGGUGAGGAAUACAUCGGAAUCUACUCUGUCGUGGGGGAUAACGUAGGGAAACUUACGCUAAUACCGCAUACGACCUACGGGUGAAAGCAGGGGACCUUCGGGCCUUGCGCGAUUGAAUGAGCCGAUGUCGGAUUAGCUAGUUGGCGGGGUAAAGGCCCACCAAGGCGACGAUCCGUAGCUGGUCUGAGAGGAUGAUCAGCCGCACUGGAGCUGAGACCCGGUCCAGACUCCUGAGGGAGGCAGCAGUGGGGAAUAUUGGACAAUGGGCGCAAGCCUGAUCCAGCCAUACCGCGUGGGUGAAGAAGGCCUUCGGGUUGUAAAGCCCUUUUGUUGGGAAAGAAAUCCAGCUGGCUAAUACCCGGUUGGGAUGACGGUACCCAAAGAAUAAGCACCGGCUAACUUCGUGCCAGCAGCCGCCGCAG